rnacentral:lncRNA from 1 species
CGCUGAUAAGCCCUGCGGUUUUGUCAGAAGUAGGAAAGUAAACAGAAGAAGGUGGUGUCAAGUGAACAGCCGCUCUCUUUAGGGAACCGUGAGAGAGCGGAAGUUCAUAAUUGAGUUCCUUGGGGCCAAGCUGCAGAAACACAGCUAAACCUUGGCUUUACCGCAGCUCAGUCUUCCCAGCAUCUUCACCAGGAGUGGAUUCCAUCUCAAGAAACCACUAUGUUUGCUCCUCCAUAGUGGUAAAUCCUCCUCUCAGAAGUUUAGUCAUGAGAUUGCAACAAUUCGGUUACAUCUUCAGGCUCUGUUUGUAAUUGCAGUUCUCUUGCUUUUUCCAUCACAUCUGUAGUUACUUUCUCCACUGACAUGUUGAAUCUUCAAUUUGUAAAAAAUUCCAUAUCUACGAUGAGUACAAUAAAGCAAGAUAUAAC